rnacentral:rRNA from 1 species
GACGAACGCUGGCGGCGUGCUUAACACAUGCAAGUCGAACGGAAAGGCCCUGCUUUUGUGGGGUGCUCGAGUGGCGAACGGGUGAGCAACACGUGAGUAACCUGCCCUUGACUUUGGGAUAACUUCAGGAAACUGGGGCUAAUACCGGAUAGGAGCUCCUGCUGCAUGGUGGGGGUUGGAAAGUUUCGGCGGUUGGGGAUGGACUCGCGGCUUAUCAGCUUGUUGGUGGGGUAGUGGCUUACCAAGGCUUUGACGGGUAGCCGGCCUGAGAGGGUGACCGGCCACAUUGGGACUGAGAUACGGCCCAGACUCCUACGUGAGGCAGCAGUGGGGAAUAUUGCACAAUGGGCGGAAGCCUGAUGCAGCAACGCCGCGUGCGGGAUGACGGCCUUCGGGUUGUAAACCGCUUUCGCCUGUGACGAAGCGUGAGUGACGGUAAUGGGUAAAGAAGCACCGGCUAACUACGUG